CCGGCCUGGGCCUGUUCUCUCUCAUGCUGCCCCAGUCCUUCAGUCCACACAGCCUCACCUUGCUGUUCUAACAAGACCAAAGGGAUUUUUUGGAUUUUUUUUCUUUUUCUUUUUUCCCUUGUCAGCAUUCCAUCUGGCUCACAGAUAAAAUUAGAGCUUCUUCAGAACCACAGUGAAUCAGCCAGCCUUAACAUAACUUCAGGAGAACAGAUCACAGCUCUGGUGAUCCUGUUCAUGCCAACCAACCAACCAACCAACCAGCCUACAGGAAGCAAGAGCAGAUGGAAUAAAUCG
rnacentral:lncRNA from 1 species